GACAGAGGGUGCAAGCGUUGUUCGGAAUUAUUGGGCGUAAAGGGCGCGUAGGCGGCGGUGCAAGUCAGAUGUGAAAUCCCUGGGCUUAACCCAGGAAGUGCAUCUGAUACUGCGCUGCUUGAAUCCCGGAGAGGGUGGUGGAAUUCCUGGUGUAGAGGUGAAAUUCGUAGAUAUCAGGAGGAACACCGGUGGCGAAGGCGACCACCUGGACGGAGAUUGACGCUGAGGCGCGAAAGCGUGGGGAGCAAACAGG
rnacentral:rRNA from 1 species